AGCGACGACGCUGGCGGCAGGCUUAACACAUGCAAGUCGAGCGCCCCGCAAGGGGAGCGGCAGACGGGUGAGUAACGCGUGGGAAUCUACCCUUUUCUACGGAAUAACGCAGGGAAACUUGUGCUAAUACCGUAUAAGCCCUUCGGGGGAAAGAUUUAUCGGGAAAGGAUGAGCCCGCGUUGGAUUAGCUAGUUGGUGGGGUAAAGGCCUACCAAGGCGACGAUCCAUAGCUGGUCUGAGAGGAUGAUCAGCCACAUUGGGACUGAGACACGGCCCAAACUCCUACGGGAGGCAGCAGUGGGGAAUAUUGGACAAUGGGCGCAAGCCUGAUCCAGCCAUGCCGCGUGAGUGAUGAAGGCCCUAGGGUUGUAAAGCUCUUUCACCGGUGAAGAUAAUGACGGUGACCGGAGAAGAAGCCCCGGCUAACUUCGUGCCAGCAGCCGCGGUAAUACGAAGGGGGCUAGCGUUGUUCGGAAUUACUGGGCGUAAAGCGCACGUAGGCGGAUUGUUAAGUGAGGGGUGAAAUCCCAGGGCUCAACCCUGGAACUGCCUUUCAUACUGGCAAUCUAGAGUCCAGAAGAGGUGAGUGGAAUUCCGAGUGUAGAGGUGAAAUUCGUAAAUAUUCGGAGGAACACCACUGGCGAAGGCGGCUCACUGGUCUGGUACUGACGCUCAGGUGCGAAAGCGUGGGGAGCAAACAGGAUUAGAUACCCUGGUAGUCCACGCCGUAAACGAUGAAUGUUAGCCGUCGGGCAGUUUACUGUUCGGUGGCGCAGCUCACGCAUUAAACAUUCCGCCUGGGGAGUACGGUCGCCAGAUUAAAACUCAAUGAAUUGACGGGGGCCGCACAAGCGUGGAGCAUGGGUUUAAUUCGAAGCAACGCACAGAACUUACCAGCCCUGACAUCCCGAUCCCGCAUAGAAGAGAUCCUCUCCCUUCAUUUCCGCUGGAUCGGAAACAGGUGCUGCAGGGCUGUCGUCAGCUCGUGUCGUGAGAUGU
rnacentral:rRNA from 1 species